rnacentral:rRNA from 1 species
CGCAGGCGGAUGGUUGCGUCCGGAGUGAAAUUUCGCCGCUCAACGGCGAAGCUGCUUUGGAUACGGACCGUCUAGGGACCGGUAGAGGCUGGUAGAAUUGCAGGUGUAGCGGUGGAAUGCGUAGAGAUCUGCAAGAAUACCCGUGGCGAAGGCGGCCAGCUGGGCCGGAUCCGACGCUGAGGCGCGAAAGCGUGGGAGCAAACA